AAUGUUUGCAGAUUCGGUAGGAAGCAGAGGCACGCAAUUACGAGAUUCUCCGUUGUUCGCGGAAGACUUGGCGGUUCCCUCGCAGAAGAUUGGACUAUCGUCCGUUUCGAUGCAAACACGAAAGAGGAUUGGAUCUAAACUCUCCGUCAUCCGCGCACUGACCAAAUAAAAAGAUGAUCCAGAGAUGGCAGCAGCGAUACAAUUUCAAACCACAGUACUCGUUGGUAAAAUAGGAACUUGGAAUCGCCAUACCUGGCCCGCCAUUUUCUCAUCGUGUUUUCGGUUCCGGAGCUGCAGUUUGAUUCUUCGAUAUACUGAAAAUGGAUAUUUUAUGUCGAACGCCACGUUGUCACCGCCUCGAUACUUCCGUGACUCUCCAGCCAUAGCUGAGUCAAGUUUCUUAAUUAAGAAACCGUCCAUCUCUCUCCGCUGCCUCUUCGUCUUGCUGUAUCGGUCUCGCAGAUUUACCACGACGACACGAAG